rnacentral:rRNA from 1 species
CAAGUAGGUAGUAAAUCCUGGGGCUCAACCCUUUAAAUAUUAUCUAAACUGCUAAGCUAGAAUAUGAGAGAGGUCGCUGGAAUUCCUAGUGUAGGAGUGAAAUCCGUAGAUAUUAGGAGGAACACCGAUGGCGUAGGCAGGCGACUGGCUCAUUAUUGACGCUAAGGCACGAAAGCGUGGGUAGCAAACGGGAUUAGAUACCCCGGUAGUCCACGCCGUAAACUAUGGAUGCUA